AUUAUCGAUAGUACUGCCUUGGAACUAUCUCGAUACAUACAUUUAUUUGUUAACUACGUAAGACAUUUUCGAGCUUAGGUUGAAAAGGCUCACAAUUUUCAAAAUGAAUUGGCUUGAGUGGUUUUAAAUCCAAAUCAAUAAUUGUUAAAAAUGAUAAUAUGCUUAUUAAAUACAAGCUUUGCUCAGAUCUACAGCUUACUAAAUAUUUGCAGAAACAAAGGUUAUAUCAUUUAGCUCGACGAUAUUUAAGAAAAAGUACAUCGAUGAAAUUUCCCCUUUGUUCGUAAGUAGCACAAAAAAAGGGAAAUUUCCCUAACUUAACAACACUGUAUUUAAAUGUAAACAAAGUCGCAGAAGUGCAGAUAAACAACCAAAUGAAGCAAUUGCAUGCAACUGUUUUGUUCUACGUCUAAUCACAUAAGCAACCAACAGAUGUGAUAGCCGGCGCAACAGUUGGUUAUUUUAUCAGAGUCUGGAACGUUCUGCAGGGGAUUUGAUAAUAAGAUCCAGAUUUUAUUAAAAACCAAGUAUCAUCAUGGAAGUCUACAUUUGAAUGCCGCUCUUAAGUCAAAUACGUACAUGAUUGAAAUAUAAAAUUGUGUUAGAAAAAGCUAUUUUUCAUAAAAAUGUUUGGAAAUUGUUAAUGUUAAUGUAUACUAAAAGAAAGAUAGUUUAAUUAUCUUUUAAUCCAUAAUGAAUUAAAAAAAAAUUCAUUUAUUUUGUAAAUGCUUCAAGGCUAUAUUUAUUGUUUUAUGCAAGUCAAAAGUACAUGUCGAAAUACAAAAUGUUGUUAGCAUGGGCUUUGUUUUAUAAGCAUGUUUAAAAAUAUACAAUGUUAACGCAUAUGAAAAUGGAGAUAGUUCAA
rnacentral:lncRNA from 1 species